rnacentral:rRNA from 1 species
UACGGAAGGCAGCGGUGGGGAAUAUUGCACAAUGGGCGAAAGCCUGAUGCAGCUAUGCCGCGUGUAUGAAGAAGGCCUUAGGGUUGUAAAGUACUUUCAUCGGGGAGGAAAAAACAAACUAAUAAUUUUAUUUCUUGACGUUACCCGAAAAAGAAGCACCGGCUAACUCCGUGCCAGCAGCCGCGGUAAUACGGAGGGUGCUAGCGUUAAUCAGAAUUACUGGGCGUAAAGAGCACGUAGGUGGUUUUUUUAAAGUCAGAUGUGAAAUCCCUGGGCUUAACCUAGGAACUGCAUUUUGAAACUGAAAUACUAGAGUAUCGUAGAGGGAGGUAGAAUUCUAGGUGUAGCGGUGAAAUGCGUAGAUAUCUGGAGGAAUACCUGUGGCGAAAGCGGCCUCCUAAACGAAUACUGACACUGAGGGUGCGAAAGCGUGGGGAGCAAACAGGGAUUAGAUACC